GUCAAUGGCAUCUCUCUUCUCCUUAUCCUCCUUUGCAAACUUUUCAGCUUCAUUCACCAUCCUCUCAACCUGCACAUAUUCAUUCAUGUAUCCUUAAACGAUAUUGAAAUACAAGCAUGUUUUACCAGAUCAAAUUUCAUGAGCAGUUUUAUAGCAGGGCAAUCAAAGGAAGAUAAUAGGUUACUUGGUUACUAUUUAGUGUAAUUCCUAUGCUCUCAAAUUUCAAGGACACCAUUGCAUUUAUCCCAUACAGGUACAUUUCCUCGUAAGAAAUACAGGUUCAAAGUGAUUGCACCAUGCAUCUCAAAUGUCAAGUAAUGGUAAAUGCCACAAGAACUCAGUUCAUAUCAUGCUCAUUGGCAGAACAUACCUCAUCACUGGGUAAGGUACUAGCACCAGUAAUGGUGAUGUCUUGCUUCUUGCCAGUACCUUUAUCAACAGCAGUAACAGACAGAAUG
rnacentral:misc_RNA from 1 species